rnacentral:SRP_RNA from 1 species
UCGCGCUAGGCGGGAACGUAGCGGCGUUCCUGUACUCGCAAAUCCGCUUUAGCGAGGCUGAAUUCCCUCUCGAGGGCGGUAUGCCCUUUAGCAGGCGCAGAGCAAGUAGCGAUGACGGUUGGGUCCUACUCAACAGGUAGGCGGUGAACCCGGUCAGGUCCGGAAGGAAGCAGCCGUAGCCGCUGAGCCUGUGUGCUGUAGGGUUGCCUGACCCGAGCUAACUACUCUGUGGCCGUUCUGGGUAUGCCGUUCGAAAGAGGGUGCGCGA